CCGGUUAGUGACUGAGGAGGAUC
rnacentral:rRNA from 1 species